rnacentral:rRNA from 2 species
CUCAGGCGGGGGGAGGGCGGAGAAAGAGAAAGAACGAAGUAACAAUACAAAGCAAAUUGAGUGCUUGCAUUUAACUGUAUAUGACAUUAAGACGAGUGGCGAACUGGUGAGUAACACGUGGGUAACUUGCCCCGAAGCGGGGGAUAACAUUUGGAAACAGGUGCUAAUACCGCAUAACAACAAAAACCACAUGGUUUUUGUUUAAAAGAUGGUUUCGGCUAUCACUUUGGGAUGGACCCGCGGCGUAUUAGCUAGUUGGUGAGGUAAUGGCUCACCAAGGCAAUGAUACGUAGCCGACCUGAGAGGGUAAUCGGCCACAUUGGGACUGAGACACGGCCCAAACUCCUACGGGAGGCAGCAGUAGGGAAUCUUCCACAAUGGACGAAAGUCUGAUGGAGCGACGCCGCGUGAGUGAUGAAGGGUUUCGGCUCGUAAAACUCUGUUGUUGGAGAAGAACGGGUGUCAGAGUAACUGUUGACAUCGUGACGGUAUCCAACCACAAAGCCACGGCUAACUACGUGCCAGCAGCCGCGGUAAUACGUAGGUGGCAAGCGUUGUCCGGAUUUAUUGGGCGUAAAGCGAGCGCAGGCAGCUCUUUAGGUCUGAUGUGAAAGCAUUCGGCUUCCCCCGACAAUAGCAUCGGAAAU